AUACGUAGGGUGCGAGCGUUGUCCGGAAUUACUGGGCGUAAAGAGCUCGUAGGUGGUUUGUCGCGUCGUCUGUGAAAUUCCGGGGCUUAACUCCGGGCGUGCAGGCGAUACGGGCAUAACUUGAGUACUGUAGGGGAGACUGGAAUUCCUGGUGUAGCGGUGAAAUGCGCAGAUAUCAGGAGGAACACCGGUGGCGAAGGCGGGUCUCUGGGCAGUAACUGACGCGGAGGAGCGAAAGCAUGGGUAGCGAACAGGAUUAGAUACCCUGGUAGUCCAUGCCGUAAGCGGUGGGCGCUAGGUGUAGGGGUCUUCCACGACUUCUGUGCCGUAGCUAACGCAUUAAGCGCCCCGCCUGGGGAGUACGGCCGCAAGGCUAAAACUCAAAUGAAUUGACGGGG
rnacentral:rRNA from 1 species